rnacentral:lncRNA from 1 species
AAAGGGAAGCUUAUGUCAAACUAUUGAAAUAUAGUUAGAUUAGCAUGUUAUACAUCCUCCAUUUAGUCCAAGGAAGCUUUAGGACAAGAAUUGGAUCCAAGCUAUGUAAGAAGAACUUAAUCAUUUUGGGACAAAAUAGAUCUUUAAGAGCAAGACUGUAAUAGCCCGUUUUUAGUGAAAUCAGAACAGUGGUUUCGAG